UGAGUAAUGUCUGGGAAACUGCCUGAUGGAGGGGGAUAACUACUGGAAACGGUAGCUAAUACCGCAUAAUGUCGCAAGACCAAAGUGGGGGACCUUCGGGCCUCAUGCCAUCAGAUGUGCCCAGAUGGGAUUAGCUUGUAGGUGGGGUAACGGCUCACCUAGGCGACGAUCCCUAGCUGGUCUGAGAGGAUGACCAGCCACACUGGAACUGAGACACGGUCCAGACUCCUACGGGAGGCAGCAGUGGGGAAUAUUGCACAAUGGGCGCAAGCC
rnacentral:rRNA from 1 species